GGACCCGCACAAGUAGUGGAGCAUGUGGUUUAAUUCGAUGAUACGCGAGGAACCUUACCAGGGCUUAAAUGUAGUAUGACCGGCUUGGAAACAGGCCUUCUCUUCGGAGCAGAUUACAAGGUGCUGCAUGGUUGUCGUCAGCUCGUGCCGUGAGGUGUUAGGUUAAGUCCCGCAACGAGCGCAACCCCUAUUCUUAGUUGCCAGCGGUUCGGCCGGGGACUCUAAGAAGACUGCCAGCGCAAGCUGAGAGGAAGGUGGGAUGACGUCAAAUCAUCACGGCCCUUACGUCUGGGCUACACACGUGCUACAAUGGUAGAGACAGAGGGCAGCCACCUGGUGACAGGGAG
rnacentral:rRNA from 1 species